rnacentral:rRNA from 1 species
UACAGAGGGGGCAAGCGUUGUUCGGAAUUACUGGGCGUAAAGGGCGCGUAGGCGGCCUGCUAAGUCGAACGUGGAAUCCCCGGGCUCAACCCGGGAACUGCGUCCGAUACUGGCAGGCUUGAAUCCGGGAGAGGGAUGCGGAAUUCCAGGUGUAGCGGUGAAAUGCGUAGAUAUCUGGAGGAACACCGGUGGCGAAGGCGGCGUUCUGGACUGUAUCUGACACUGAGGAACGAAAGCCAGGGGAGCAAACGGG